rnacentral:rRNA from 1 species
ACGAACGCUGGCGGCAUGCCUAACACAUGCAAGUCGAACGAGACCUUCGGGUCUAGUGGCGCACGGGUGCGUAACGCGUGGGAACCUGCCCUUAGGUUCGGAAUAACUCCCCGAAAGGGGUGCUAAUACCGGAUAAUGUCUUCGGACCAAAGAUUUAUCGCCUUUGGAUGGGCCCGCGUUGGAUUAGCUAGUUGGUAGGGUAAAAGCCUACCAAGGCGACGACCCAUAGCUGGUCUGAGAGGAUGAUCAGCCACACUGGGACUGAGACACGGCCCAGACUCCUACGGGAGGCAGCAGUGGGGAAUAUUGGACAAUGGGCGAAAGCCUGAUCCAGCAAUGCCGCGUGAGUGAUGAAGGCCUUAGGGUUGUAAAGCUCUUUUACCCGGGAUGAUAAUGACAGUACCGGGAGAAUAAGCUCCGGCUAACUCCGUG